rnacentral:rRNA from 1 species
UACGUAGGGGGCAAGCGUUGUCCGGAUUUAUUGGGCGUAAAGAGCGUGUAGGCGGCCAUACAGGUCAGCUGUGAAAACUCGAGGCUCAACCUCGAGACGUCGGUUGAAACCGUAUGGCUAGAGUCCGGAAGAGGAGAGUGGAAUUCCCGGUGUAGCGGUGAAAUGCGCAGAUAUCGGGAAGAACACCCGUGGCGAAGGCGGCUCUCUGGGACGGUACUGACGCUGAGACGCGAAAGCAUGGGGAGCAAACAGG